rnacentral:rRNA from 1 species
GACGAACGCUGGCGGCGUGCUUAACACAUGCAAGUCGAGCGAGAGAAAUUCCUUCGGGAAGGACUCUAGCGGCGGACGGGUGAGUAACACGUGGGUAACUUGCCUCAUAGAGGGGAAUAGCCUUUCGAAAGGAAGACUAAUACCGCAUAAGAUUGUAGUAUCGCAUGAUGCAGCAAUUAAAGGAGUAAUCCGCUAUGAGAUGGACCCGCGUCGCAUUAGCUAGUUGGUGAGGUAACGGCUCACCAAGGCGACGAUGCGUAGCCGACCUGAGAGGGUGAUCGGCCACAGUGGGACUGAGACACGGCCCAGACUCCUACGGGAGGCAGCAGUGGGGAAUAUUGCACAAUGGGGGAAACCCUGAUGCAGCAACGCCGCGUGAGUGAUGACGGUCUUCGGAUUGUAAAACUCUGUCUUCAGGGACGAUAAUGACGGUACCUGAGGAGGAAGCCACGGCUAACUACGUGCCAGCAGCCGCAGUAA